rnacentral:rRNA from 1 species
CAGUGGAGACAUUGUCCUUCAGUUAGGCUGGCCCCAGAACAGGUGCUGCAUGGCUGUCGUCAGCUCGUGUCGUGAGAUGUUGGGUUAAGUCCCGCAACGAGCGCAACCCUCGCCCUUAGUUGCCAGCAUUUAGUUGGGCACUCUAAGGGGACUGCCGGUGAUAAGCCGAGAGGAAGGUGGGGAUGACGUCAAGUCCUCAUGGCCCUUACGGGCUGGGCUACACACGUGCUACAAUGGUGGUGACAGUGGGCAGCGAGACAGCGAUGUCGAGCUAAUCUCCAAAAGCCAUCUCAGUUCGGAUUGCACUCUGCAACUCGAGUGCAUGAAGUUGGAAUCGCUAGUAAUCGCAGAUC